GAUUGGUGUUGUUCCUCU
rnacentral:snRNA from 1 species